UGCAAUUUCCUUUUACCAAAAAAACACUUUUCAACGCCACUCUUCGUUUUCCUUUCAGAUCUCAACCUUGUUUUUUUUCUUCUUCUUCUUCCUAAUCUGCUAUUUUCAUUUUUCUCUCUUUAUUCAACUACUUCAGAAUUUUUUAUGCUUCACUCUACAGUUAUUCUUUGGAAUAAAAUCGCAUAUAUAAUUUUUAAUUUUUCGUAAUUAAUUUUUCUACUCUUGCGUUGAUCUCGAUCGAUGGCUGCUCCACCUGCAAGAGCACGAGCCGAUUACGAUUACCUAAUAAAGCUUCUUCUCAUCGGCGAUAGCGGUGUAGGUAAAAGUUGCCUUCUGUUGCGUUUCUCAGAUGGAUCUUUUACAACUAGUUUUAUCACGACCAUUGGCAUUGAUUUCAAAAUAAGGACCAUAGAGCUUGAUAGCAAGCGAAUCAAAUUGCAAAUAUGGGAUACAGCUGGUCAAGAGCGGUUUCGAACUAUUACAACUGCUUAUUACCGUGGAGCCAUGGGUAUUUUGCUUGUGUAUGAUGUUACUGAUGAGUCUUCUUUUAACAACAUCAGGAAUUGGAUUCGCAACAUUGAGCAACAUGCUUCUGACAAUGUCAACAAGAUAUUAGUUGGGAACAAGGCUGACAUGGAUGAAAGCAAAAGAGCUGUUCCAACUUCAAAAGGUCAAGCUCUGGCAGAUGAAUACGGCAUCAAGUUUUUCGAGACUAGUGCAAAAACUAAUAUGCAUGUGGAUGAGGUUUUCUUUUCAAUAGCUCGGGACAUCAAACAAAGACUUGCAGAUAGUGACUCAAAGGCUGAGCCCCAGGCACUCAAGAUUAACCAACCAGACCAGGGAGCAGGGUCUGCUCAAGCCGCCCAAAAAUCUGCUUGCUGUGGUUCUUAAAGGGAAAGAGAAAGUUGAUUCUGUCAAUGACGUUCAUCAAGUGCUUGUAUUGUUCUUAUUAUUUCAUAGUUGGAGCUUGACUAUAACCCAGGCUUCCUUUGCUGAAACCAAGAACCACAUCCUUCGCACACUUGGUGCUCCAAAUUUUUGAAAUGCUUUAUAUUUCAGAACCUUAGCGGUACUAUCAACUAUGAAUCAAACCUUAAACGCUCACUGAGGCCUUCUAGAUCUACUUUUUGUAUUUAGGUAGAUUUAGUUUUGUUUUAUAGGCCAGGCUAAAUUGACAGUUUAAACAUCUAACUCAUAAUCAGAUUUAAAUUGUGCGGUAGAUUGUUACAGCAUUCCUCAUGAUUAACAUGUUGGAAUUUGUUCUCAAAACCAAAAAAAAUGCCAUAUAUAUUACCAUGUCUACCCUUUACCAUGUUGGUACU